AGAGUUUGAUCCUGGCUCAGAACGAACGCUGGCGGCAGGCUUAACACAUGCAAGUCGAACGGGCACCUUCGGGUGUCAGUGGCAGACGGGUGAGUAACACGUGGGAACGUGCCUUUCGGUUCGGGAUAACCCAGGNNAACUUGGGCUAAUACCGGAUACGCUUUGGGGGAAAGAUUUAUUGCCGAAAGAUCGGCCCGCGUCUGAUUAGCUAGUUGGUAGGGUAAUGGCCUACCAAGGCGACGAUCAGUAGCUGGUCUGAGAGGAUGAUCAGCCACACUGGGACUGAGACACGGCCAGACUCCUACGGGAGGCAGCAGUGGGGAAUAUUGGACAAUGGGCGCAAGCCUGAUCCACCAUGCCGCGUGAGUGAUGAAGGCCCUAGGGUUGUAAAGCUCUUUCGGCGGGGACGAUAAUGACGGUACCCCGCAGAAGAAGCCCCGGCUAACUUCGUGCCAGCAGCCGCGGUAAUACGAAGGGGGCUAGCGUUGUUCGGAAUCACUGGGCGUAAAGNNNGCGUAGGCGGCCGAUCAAGUCGGGGGUGAAACCUGUGGCUCAACCACAGAAUUGCCUUCGAUACUGUUUGGCUUGAGACCGGAAGAGGUAAGUGGAACUGCGAGUGUAGAGGUGAAAUUCGUAGAUAUUCGCAAGAACACCAGUGGCGAAGGCGGCUUACUGGUCCGGUUCGNNGCUGANNNNCGAAAGCGUGGGGAGCAAACAGGAUUAGAUACCCUAGUAGUCC
rnacentral:rRNA from 1 species